GGCGGCUUGAGAUGCCUUGGAAGAAAGAGCAAACGCUAGAAGCGGCGAUCGAGACGACGAGAGUGAGAGGAUGCAUGUCGAGAGAGAAUUAAGCAAAGUCCUGAUGAAUUUAUAUAAAAUUCAAAUGAUGCUUCAUAUAUAGUUUUCAAUCUGAAACCCAAAACCCUCGCUCUCUCUACCUCUCGUUUGCUGCUCGUUUUCCUCUUUUUUCGCCAUUAAUCGUUGCUCUCUCAACCUCGUGAUGAACAAAUCUGAAGUAGCAACGGAUAGUAGCGGGUGUGCAAGGGGGAUGCCCGUUUGUCGGCCGCACAAGUGGCGACAACUAAAGUGAAUAAGUGGAUUU
rnacentral:lncRNA from 1 species